UUAAAGUCUAACCUGCCCACUGAAAAUUUAAAUGGCCGCAGUAUUCUAACUGUGCAAAGGUAGCAUAAUCAUUAGUCUUUUAAUUGAAGGCUGGAAUGAAUGGUUGGACGAAAUAUUAACUGUUUCAUUUAAAUUUUUUAUAGAAUUUUAUUUUUUAGUCAAAAAGCUAAAAUAAAUUUAAAAGACGAGAAGACCCUAUAAAUCUUUAUAUUUUGUUUAUUUUAAUUAUAAAGAUUAUUUUUAUUAUAAUAAACAAAAAUAUUUUAUUGGGGUGAUAUUAAAAUUUAAAAAACUUUUAAUUUUAAAAUCCAUUAAUUUAUGAAUAAUUGAUCCAUUAAUAAUGAUUAAAAAUUUAAGUUACUUUAGGGAUAACAGCGUAAUUUUUUUGGAGAGUUCAUAUCGAUAAAAAAGAUUGCGACCUCGAUGUUGGAUUAAGAUAUAAUUUUGGGUGUAGCCGUUCAAAUUUUAAGUCUGUUCGACUUUUAAAUUCUUACAUGAUCUGAGUUCAAACCGGCGUAAGCCAGGUUGGUUUCUAUCUUUAAAAAAUUGUAAUAUUUUAGUACGAAAGGACCAAAUAUUAAAAUAAUUAUAUUUUUAAUAAGAAUAUUAUUAAUACAG
rnacentral:rRNA from 1 species